rnacentral:rRNA from 1 species
AUAACGGUCCUAAGGUAGCGAAAUUCCUUGUCAGGUAAGUUCUGACCCGCACGAAAGGCGUAAUGAUUUGGGAGCUGUCUCGACAGUAUACUCGGCGAAAUUGUAGUACUAGUGAAGAUGCUAGUUACCUGCGACAAGACAGAAAGACCCCAUGGAGCUUUACUGUAGCUUGAUAUUGGGUUUCGGUAAUUUAUGUACAGGAUAGGUGGGAGACUAUGAAGCAAGAGCGUCAGCUUUUGUGGAGUCACCCUUGGGAUACCACCCUUAAAUUAUUGGAAUUCUAACCUGUGAUCAUGAACUGGUCAGGGGACAAUGUCAGGCGGGCAGUUUGACUGGGGCGGUCGCCUCCUAAAGAGUAACGGAGGCGCCCAAAGGUUUCCUCAACCCGGACAGAAAUCGGGUGAAAGAGUGCAAAGGCAGAAGGAAGCUUAACUGAAAGACAGACAUGUCGAGCAGAUACGAAAGUAGGGCUUAGUGAUCCGGUGGUAUGUGAGUGGAAAUGCCAUCGCUCAACGGACAAAAGUUACCCUGGGGAUAACAGGCUUAUCUCUCCCAAGAGUUCACAUCGACGGGGAGGUUUGGCACCUCGAUGUCGGCUCAUCGCAUCCUGGAGCUGAAGUCGGUUCCAAGGGUUGGGCUGUUCGCCCAUUAAAGCGGUACGCGAGCUGGGUUCAGAACGUCGUGAGACAGUUCGGUCCCUAUCUGUCGUGGGCGUAGGAAGUUUGAGGAGAGCUGCCCUCAGUACGAGAGGACCGGGGUGGACAGACCAAUGGUGCACCAGUUGUCACGCCAGUGGCACAGCUGGGUAGCUAAGUCUGGAAGGGAUAAACGCUGAAGGCAUCUAAGUGUGAAGCCCCCUCCAAGAUGAGACUUCCCAUUCUUCGGAAGUAAGACCCCUCAAAGACGAUGAGGUUGAUAGGUCAGAGGUGUAAGCGCAGCGAUGUGCGAAGCUGACUGAUACUAAUAGGUCGAGGACUUAACCAG